UCAAAUGUCAGAGGCCCUAUCGCCUCCCA
rnacentral:sRNA from 1 species